AUGUGUUGAGAAGCUUGGGGACAUUGUUGGAUAGAGAUUAAGAGUGAAAAGUGAUAGUUGAGCAUUUUUUGGAAAUUAUUCAAUUAAAAUUCGUUUUUUCAAAUUACAGGAGACAGGUGAAAUAUUAUCAAUUGUUUUCUUAACUUUAUUUUUGCGUCCAGUUUGUGCAAUUUAUUUACAUUUGCCUUGCUAACUUCAGUAAUUUAGCUAACCUUAGCUAUAGCUAGCUACCAGAGCGAGUGUGCCGUUUUCUGUGCCAUAAUGGUAACGUUAGAAUGGCCAACGCUGCCGAAAAUGUUGUGGACUUUUUGUUGACCCCUUCCAUUCUCUGGGGUACACGGAAAAGCUGCGAAUUAAAAGCGAGGGUCGACCUCUGCCUGAGAUCAGUUUCAUGAAGAAGGGUGAAAAGGUGAGGGUGUUCAAUGGCAUCUGGUAUCAAAAGUAUAGCUGGUAAACAGGGAGCCUUUCAUCAAGCCGCCUCUAUUGAUGGCCUUGCAAGAUUUUGAGAUGGAAAGUUCCACCGACAAGGGGAACUACAAGGAGCUUGCAGAGCUAAGUCCCCUCCUGUUCCCUGAUGAAGAGGCGAUAACUACUCCACUCCUCUACCUUUGUCAACAUUCUCCUGACAUGAACUGAAGCCACGUCUCGUGCCCACUCAUCCACUGGCGCAUUGAAUGUUUCCUCGCCAAGGAGUACCCCUAUACAUUUUCUCUCAUUCCUGUCAAUCAUUAGAGUCAAUCACGUACACAAUUCACAUUAUUAGACAUCUAUGAUUUUACUCCCUGCUUAGACAAAAGGGCUAAAAAUGAGUUAGAUUGACUAUGUAGUGUGUUGUGUUAUUGUUUUUUGUCUUCCCAGUCAAAUCCUAUCCUGCACUGGUCAAGCCUCUGAACACCUCAACUCAUGCAUCAUACCCUCAUUCAAUCACUUCUGUGAUCCCGCUCAGCCCUCUCAUUCCCCAUAAUAUUGUACUAUAAAUGUCUUUAUUAAAUGCUUUAGGCUAAAGUAAUUAGUCUUUGCCGAUUUUUGAAA